rnacentral:lncRNA from 1 species
UAUACAUUUAUUCCAGGUAUCUUUGUGUUUUCUUCAUAAUAUUUAAAUUUAUUUUAUUCUUGCUGUGUGUAUAUGAGUAGACUGGAGGGACAUAUAGAUUAGAUGCCUGAUCUUGUCAGAGGAAAGGAAAGGAAAAAGAAAAUAAAUAAAUAAAAUAAGAAAAGGCCCAGGAACUAGGAAAAACUGUUUCUAUCAGCUCUGUCCCUCAAAGAGCUGCAAGAAAGACCUGCCCUACCACAGAGCAGAGACUUGGAUACCCUGGCGCCUUCCCCUCCGCACGGCCCGGCUGUGUACAAAGCCGCUGUCGGUGCUGUGUCUUUUGGACCCUUUGGCAGCUUCUCUCACAUCCUCUGUGCUCUCCUCCAGGUGUGAACUACUGACCAGAUUUUAACCUGCCUCGCAUCUGACGUGUAGCAUCAAAGCUUCCACUAACCCCCACCCCGUCCCUUCACUAUUCCCAUUAACAAACUUGGAGUGUGGCUUAUCUCCCUCAAUGCAGAGACAGUGGUCCCACCUGGAGGCCAUUAGGUACAGUGAGGGUGAUGGGCACAGUGUUCCUGUGAGAGAGUUCCCUCGUCUGCUCUUCCCCAGGCAAAUCCUCCCAGCUCCCAAUUGUAGGGAGCCAGGUAAGGAACAGGACACGAGACAGUCUCAUGGGAAGGACCUCUUCUAAAUCACUGGCAAGUGAAGUGCACAUGGGACCUUUUAGACCACCCUGCUUCUGAGCUGUGGCUGUGCCCUGCCUGCACUGUGAUGUGUGUGUGUGUUUACCCCACUACCAGGCAGAAACAACCAGACCCCCAGUGAAGAAAGGAUUGGAGCAAUAGCUUCCCCAAACAGAAGGCAGCCACUCUGCAAACCUCAUCCCACAACCACCCCUCCCUUGAUCUCAAGUCCCAUAUUCAGAGCUGAUGCAUCAGGAGUAACACAGAAUCCCAGCUAGUUAGCAUCCUCACUAAGUUCCCACUGAGGUGCUCAGCACUGCAUCCCUUUACAAAGAAGAUGGAAGAAAGGCUGCUGCCCUUGGGACUAUCCUCUCAGUGGAAGGAGGGCCACUUAGUCCUUACUAGACCAUGUGUCCCUGGUGCAUCCUCUGGGCCUUCUUUAAUGAAGAUAAACUGCUCGGCAUGAGGAUGAUGAAAUCAGCUCAGGUCUGAAAUCGGUCUGUGGUACCUUGGGACCCUCAGGUCAGCAGGCUGCUGCUGCUCGCUGGUUCUUCCUGGGCCCUGGCACCCAUGUCUCUGUUCGUGCGGCGGGUGAUGUCUUGGGAAAGUGGAUGAGGAGCAGGCCAGUAGGCAAGGCUUGUGGUAGUGCCAGUUAGCCCUGUGAAUGGAUGUUUGAUGUGAUUCAGAGGAAAAGGGGGCGAGUGGCCAGUGUCCCUGACUGUAUUGCGUUCUCCCCUUCCUCGUAACAAAGUUGUUUGCAGCUGUAAAAGCCAGCCUGGCUUGGUUCUCUUUGUCUAAGAACUGGAACUGAGCAGCCAGCGUAGAGCAGGUCAGGAAGGGAGGUUAGCCCAGCAGACAGGAGCUCCCUGGACUGCGUCUCAGAUGUUGCAAACACUCAUUUUGAACAGUGUGUGGUGGAGGAGUGGGUUGGGUGAUGUGAGUGGAGUUUACGUUCUUGGAAACCAGAGUGAGGUGCCUAGGAGGCUUAGGGAAGUAUUGCUGCUGGUUCAUGAUGAUGAUGGUAGCUGGGUCCCCACCUGCCCCUCCCUCCCCCGGGUUCUCAACAUCUGGCUAAGGGAGGGUAGGUUGUGGGCGUGGCUCUUGCUGGCCUGCCAUGUAGCUGCUAGGACAGAAAACAGAAAGAAGAUUGCUCUGUGCCCUCAGCUAGCAGACAGAAUUCCAUAAGGCAAGCUCUCCUUUCAUGGCCCAGCCUGAGACUGCACACACACACACACACACACACACACACACACACACCCCACCAGCUACUGGAUCACAGCACACUCCAUCCUGGGUCUCACAGGCUUUGCCCCUCACUCAUGUUUUUCCCUCUUAUUUGCUUUACAAAUUUUCAGUGGAGAAGCCUAAAGAUUAAGCAAGCCUGAGAUGUCCUUACCAAAUUGGAAAGGAAAGGAAAGCUGUCCCUUCCUAUAGCCAAAGAACCCUCACAAAGACAUCUGGAGAUGGACAGAUGCAUUCCCUGGUCCUUUCUGGGCAAUAUGACUUCAGUGACCUUCCAUUUACCUUACCUUUCUAUCCUGCCUUUUUUUUUUUUCAUUGCAGUUAUUUCAAAACCACUCAUCUUCAAAGAGGAGUGGAGUAGUGGCCCUAAAUGUUGCUACUCCAAGGAACUGAUAUCCCUCUAGCACUCCUUUGUGAUUAAUUGAUCUCAUGCUACUGUGGGAAGCUAGAAAACAAGCAAGCAACCUUCUCUGAUGACCCCACACUGUAUCCCAGGCUGAGAAUGUGUAGGACGGGCUGGCAAUGGCAGUAUCGGCCCACUUGCCUUAGUCUCCACAAACAGACCCAGACAAGUCGGUCAAGCCACUAGAGAACCAAAGAUGGCAAGAUAAGGCUUAAUUGCAAAAGGAACCUCAUGAACUUUGGCACUAUGGCUCACUGUAGUAACCGCCCGAGGAAAGGUUUCCCGAGUCUUUGGGGUAGCUCCUGAGAAGUAGCUCCAACCAGAAGCUCAGAGCUGCCAGAAAAGAGGUCCUGGAGGUUCCCUGUCACAGAACCUCCAUGCUGCCUGACUUCUAAGCUAGAACCCCUCCCUGCCCCAAUCCUUUGAGUGUCCCUCAUCACAGACCCAUCCAGGAGAGCAUUAUACUAAUUGUCUCUUGCUGCACAAGAGCAGUGUCCCUCAUGGAAGGACUCACUGACAUUUGUUGAGUAUCCACACACAAUAUGCCAAGCCCUUUCUCCAUGUCCCCUCAGAGAUCCAUCCAUGGGAAGAAGUCAACACCCACUAUGUGACAGAUAGAAAAGCUGGCCCUCUGAGGAAGUGGCAUGUGUGAAAGGGGAACACGAUGCAUCUCAGAGCCCCCAGGUUCUGGUUUUCUUAAUCCGAUGUUCCCACUCCCUGUAUGCCAAACACUGUGCUAAGAAUUGCUGACGAGCCCUAGGACAGCAGCCGUGCAGGACCUGUGCAGAGGAGGCGCCUGGCUUGCAGACCCCGGGGCCUGCCCAGGCCACCUAGCUAAUAAGAAGGGAAGUCAGAUAUUCUGUCUACUUGGCUCUAGAGCUGAGCUCACACACCAGCCUCAGCUGCCUCCCUUGUAUAACAAGGACAGUCCUUUGCAGAAUGUCACACUCUGCCUGCCCCCGUGUGACAGUGGACUUCAGCAGGUAUGUGCAAAGAGGGUUCCUGGAUUGGAUGCAGGUGAAAGAGGCAGAGUUUGACGUUAAGAAAAGUCUCUGGGGAGUUCCUCGGGAUUCCUGGAAUUCCUGUUUCUAGCAACUAGCUUUAGCCACUCAGGCUGCUGCAGCUCCCAUGAGAGUGCAGGGAAGGUGUUCUUUCUUUUAAAUAAAUACAUAAAGAUGAUUUUUUUUCUUGCUUAUAGUUAAUCUUAGGAAGGCAAUACUAAAAGUAUAUAUUUUUUUCCAAAAUGCUAUUUUUUACUGUACUUGAUAAAUAUCAUGACAGCUCUGAUCUCUGUAAUAGGCCCGCUCUUCAGCUCUGCACAGAACCGGAAGCCAGGUUCAUGCCAAAUCUGUAAAUACCAUGUGGGUCUGUGUCCAGGAACUUCUGUUUUCUAUGAAGAAACAGACAAAACAAAAAACAA